AGAGUUUGAUCCUGGCUCAGGACGAACGCUGGCGGCGUGCUUAACACAUGCAAGUCGGACGGAGCUAUUAUUUCGGUAGAUAGCUUAGUGGCAAACGGGUGAGUAACGCGUAGGCAACCUGCCCUUAGGAUGGGGACAACGGCCCGAAAGGACCGCUAAUACCGAAUGCACUCUAACUUCCGCAUGGAAGAAAGAGGAAAGAUGGUGCAAGCCAUCGCCGAAGGGAGGGCCUGCGUCUGAUUAGCCAGUUGGUGAGGUAACGGCUCACCAAAGCGACGAUCAGUAGCCGGUCUGAGGGGAUGAACGGCCACAAUGGGACUGAGACACGGCCCAUACUCCUACGGGAGGCAGCAGUGGGGAAUCUUCCGCAAUGGGCGAAAGCCUGACGGAGCAACGCCGCGUGAGUGAAGAAGGUCUUCGGAUCGUAAAGCUCUGUUGUUGGGGACGAAAGGAAAAGGGAGGAAAUGCCCUUUUUAAGACGGUACCCGACGAGCAAGCCACGGCUAACUACGUG
rnacentral:rRNA from 1 species